rnacentral:rRNA from 1 species
AUUGAACGCUGGCGGCAGGCUUAACACAUGCAAGUCGAGCGGAGAUGAGGUGCUUGCACCUUAUCUUAGCGGCGGAGGGGUGAGUAAUGCUUAGGAACCUGCCUAUUAGUGGGGGCCAAUAUUCCGACAGGGAUGCUAAUACCGCAUACGUCCUACGGUAGAAAGCAGCGGAUCUUCGGACCUUCUGCUUAUAGGUGCUCCUAAGUCGGAUUAGCUAGUUGGAGGGGUAGAGGCCUACAAAGGCGACGAUCUGUAGCGGGUCGGAGAGGAUGAUCCGCCAGAGUGGGACUGAGACACGGCCCAGACUCCUACGGGAUGCAGCAGUGGGGAAUAUUGGACAAGGGGGGGAACCCUGAUCCAGCCAUGCCGCGUGUGUGGAGAAGGCCUUAUGGUUGUAAAGCACUUUAAGCGAGGAGGAGGCUACUGAGACUAAUACUCUUGGAUAGUGGACGUUACUCGCAGAAUAAGCACCGGCUAACUCUGUGCCAGCCGCCGCAGUAAGAC